rnacentral:rRNA from 1 species
UACGUAGGGUGCGAGCGUUAAUCGGAAUUACUGGGCGUAAAGCGCACGCAGGUGGCUGAGUCAGUCGAUUGUGAAAGCCCUGGGCUUAACCUGGGAAUUGCAGUCGAUACUACUCAGCUAGAGUAUGGGAGAGGGUAGUGGAAUUCCCGGUGUAGCGGUGAAAUGCGUAGAUAUCGGGAGGAACAUCAGGUGGCGAAGGCGGCUACCUGGCCCAAUACUGACGCUGAGGAGCGAAAGCGUGGGGAGCGAACAGG